UGGGGAAUUUUGGACAAUUGGGCGAAAGCCUGAUCCAGCAAUGCCGCGUGUGUGAAGAAGGCCUUCGGGUUGUAAAGCACUUUUGUCCGGAAAGAAAUCCUUGGCUCUAAUACAGUCGGGGGAUGACGGUACCGGAAGAAUAAGCACCGGCUAACUACGUGCCAGCAGCCGCGGUAAUACGUAGGGUGCAAGCGUUAAUCGGAAUUACUGGGCGUAAAGCGUGCGCAGGCGGUUUGCUAAGACCGAUGUGAAAUCCCCGGGCUCAACCUGGGAACUGCAUUGGUGACUGGCAGGCUAGAGUAUGGCAGAGGGGGGUUAGAAUUCCACGUGUAGCAGUGAAAUGCGUAGAGAUGUGGAGGAAUACCGAUGGCGAAGGCAGCCCCCCUGGGCCAAUACUGACGCUCAUGCACGAAAGCGUGGGGAGCAAAGCAGGAUUAGAUACCCCUGGUAGUCCACGCCCUAAACGAUGUCAACUAGUUGUUGGGGAUUCAUUUCCUUAGUAACGUAGCUAACGCGUGAAGUUGACCGCCUGGGGAGUACGGUCGCAAGAUUAAAACUCAAAUGAAUUGACGGGGUCAAGCUGUUU
rnacentral:rRNA from 1 species